rnacentral:rRNA from 1 species
GAUGAACGCUAGCUACAGGCUUAACACAUGCAAGUCGAGGGGCAGCAUGAACAAAGCUUGCUUUGUUUGAUGGCGACCGGCGCACGGGUGCGUAACACGUAUCCAAUCUGCCCGCGGCUCGGGGAUGGCCUUCCGAAAGGGAGAUUAAUACCUGAUGGUGUUUGAAUUCCGCAUGUUAUUCAAACUAAAGAUUUAUCGGUAACGGAUGGGGAUGCGUGACAUUAGGUAGAUGGCGGGGUAACGGCCCACCAUGCCAACGAUGUCUAGGGGUUCUGAGAGGAAGGUCCCCCACACUGGAACUGAGACACGGUCCAGACUCCUACGGGAGGCAGCAGUGAGGAAUAUUGGUCAAUGGUCGGAAGACUGAACCAGCCAAGUAGCGUGAAGGAUGAAGGUUCUAUGGAUUGUAAACUUCUUUUAUACGGGAAUAAAACGUCCCACGUGUGGGAUCUUGUAUGUACCGUAUGAAUAAGCAUCGGCUAACUCCGUGCCAGCAGCCGCGGUAACAC